UAGGGAAUUUUCGGCAAUGGGGGAAACCCUGACCGAGCAACGCCGCGUGAGCGAAGAAGGCCUUCGGGUCGUAAAGCUCUGUUGUAAAGGAAGAACGGCGCAUACAGGAAAUGGUAUGCGAGUGACGGUACUUUACCAGAAAGCCACGGCUAACUACGUGCCAGCAGCCGCGGUAAUACGUAGGUGGCGAGCGUUAUCCGGAAUCAUUGGGCGUAAAGAGGGAGCAGGCGGCCGCAAGGGUCUGUGGUGAAAGACCGAAGCUAAACUUCGGUAAGCCAUGGAAACCGGGCGGCUGGAGUGCGGAAGAGGAUCGUGGAAUUCCAUGUGUAGCGGUGAAAUGCGUAGAUAUAUGGAGGAACACCAGUGGCGAAGGCGACGGUCUGGGCCGCAACUGACGCUCAUUCCCGAAAGCGUGGGGAGCAAAUA
rnacentral:rRNA from 1 species